UACUGGGCGUAAAGCGCGCGUAGGUGGCUAAGUCAGCCAGGUGUGAAAGCCCCGGGCUCAACCUGGGAACGGCAUCUGGAACUGCUUGGCUAGAGUGCAGGAGAGGAAGGUAGAAUUCCCGGUGUAGCGGUGAAAUGCGUAGAGAUCGGGAGGAAUACCAGUGGCGAAGGCGGCCUUCUGGACUGACACUGACACUGAGGUGCGAAAGCGUGGGUAGCAAACAGGAUUAGAUACCCUGG
rnacentral:rRNA from 1 species